rnacentral:rRNA from 1 species
CGGGGUGAGUAAUGUCUGGGAAACUGCCUGAUGGAGGGGGAUAACUGCUGGAAACGGUAGCUAAUACCGCAUAACGUCGCAAGACCAAAGAGGGGGACCUUCGGGCCUCUUGCCAUCGGAUGUGCCCAGAUGGGAUUAGCUAAUAGGUGGGGUAACGGCUCACCUAGGCGACGAUCCCUAGCUGGUCUGAGAGGAUGACCAGCCACACUGGAACUGAGACACGGUCCAG